AAGUCGUAUAAAAUUCUAAAUAAAAAGUGAUAGUGACAAUUUUUAUUUAUAAGUCUUGACCAAAUUACGUGCCAGCAGUCGCGGUAACACGCAGAAGACUAGUGUUAUUCAUCUUUAUUAGGUAUAAAGGGUACCUAGACGGAUUAUCAAGCCAAAUGAAGGGACUAAUUUUCUAGAGUUUUAUGGAAGAAUAUCGAAUUGCUGGAGGAAAGUCAACAUUUUUUGAUACCAGUGAGACGGACAACUGCGAAGGCGUUAUUCUAUGUAAACAACUGACGUUGAGGGACGAAGCCUGGGGGAGCGAUAAGGAUUAGAUACCCUAGUAGUCCCAGGAGAAAAUAAUGAGUGUUAUAGACUAGAUUUGAAACGGUGAAUUUAAGCUAGGUUGAUGAAAUUUAAUUUAGCUUACCUUAGAAUGUGUUAAGCUUUAUCAAUAGCACUAAACUUUAGUACAUUUUCACAUACACGAUUAAAUAAUAUAGCAGUAAUGUUUAUGAGUGUGUGUGUAAGCAUUAUUAUUAAGUAUAAUGUUUAAUGGCACUUAACUGUAUAGAUAAAUAUGGCAACUCAAGAGGAUUCACUACUAAUAUUAGUUUAUAAAUGAAAGUGCAAGCAUUCCACCUCAUGAGUAAAGCGGCAACGCCGGAAUUGAAAUCAUUAGACCGUGUCUGAAACCAGUAGUGAAGUAUGUUAUUUAAUUCGAUAACCCGCGAAUAACCUUACCACG
rnacentral:rRNA from 1 species